AAUAAACACAUUUAGAAAACACUAAAUAAAUUAGCGAUUUCAGAUAAAUCUGUGAUAACCCAUUAAAUAACUCACUGAAGUAGAUCGUAUUAUUGUACACUAUAUUAUACACUAUAAUACUCAGUUAUGUCAUCUAAAAGCAAAACAAAAACAAUCCUCUGGGUUAAGCUUCUUAAAUGAGACAGUUUACUGCUUUUCUCUGUUUUAUAUCAUCACAUUACCAUAAAAUAUAUCAUCCCUUUUCCUCCAGCUCUCUCUCUCUCUUGGAUCAAGAAAAAAGUUACGAGUAUUUUCACUGGUCUUUACAGACAUUGGCCUGAAUAAAAGUCCCUCAGACUGCCAGAAAGGAGCUUUCGCUGAGAUAGAAAAUUGCAGUGUCUGCUCUAAAUGACUAUUGGUGACCUCAAAGUAUAGCACUCAGGGCUUUUAUAUCAUUUAAGGUAUUCUGUAAUUAUGACCAGGCUGUCCACACACACUGUACGUCUGUCAAGUGGAUGCAGCCCUGGAUAAAUGCUGGAUGUUUACACCUACAGAAACCCUUUUUGAUUCAGAGGGUUUUAGCAGACUAUACACACACACACAGACAAGAUGUGUUUUAGCCAGUCAUCUAGUAAACCAUUGCCUGCAUCAUCAUUUCUCUUUUCUACUAUUUUAUCAGAAGAUUGUGUGCGGGGUUUUUUGGGGGGCACUAUUGUCACUCUGGGUUGUAACUGUUUUCAAGUAACUGAAUUAUGCUACACCUCCUGCAUUUGACUACAGUUACACAUAGAAGACCCUAAAGGAAUAGCUUUUUUACUGUAGAGUGGAUAAACUAAAGGAAGGAAUCAGGGUUUCCUUCGGGAAUACAUUUUUAUCCUUGGAAGGACAUGGGCUCUGGGACGCCUAUAUCAAGCUGCACAUAUCGCCUUGUCAAUAUACAGUUUUGUUUUGACAGCUCCUCAUGCUGUUGCCAAGGAUGCUCCAGAACACACAUGCUAUUCCAAGCACUCAGCUGCUGCUUGCAUCACCGAUUCCUCUGAGCGAGCUCCUGCUCUCGGUUUCCAGAGAAACGUAAUGACUUGCCAAUAAUGCGCAAGAGCACACGAGCGUUCUCCGUGUAAUAUAGUGAGCGAGAGGUCCCUGGGAGUGCCUGCCCAUUGUUUGCUUUAAUUUCAAAUUGCUCAAAUGCUCCAGUCGACACUGGGCACUGCACUGAAAGGGGGUGAGGGGCUGGGGAAAAGGAGGAGGGGAAAAAAAGUGAAUUGUGUGUGGCAGGGGAAAACCUAUUAGAGCUGGAGAGAACAAAGGGAGGCGAAGGAGGGGGCAGCAGUUGUGGAGGGGCCCAUAUAGCUACUGAAAUAGUGAAAAUGGAAAAUUAUUAUUAUUUAUUUUUUCACAACUUGCAUUUGAUUAAAUCAAAGCUCGAUUUAUGCCUAGUGUUCCUCAAGUUGCAGGAGAAGAGCCCUCCCUGAGAUAGAAAAUUAAAGUCAGACAAUCUACUCCCAGGUGACCUUAGACAUUACAUAUAAUUAAAGGUACUGUGUGAUUAUAACCAAG